GUGCUUGCUUUGGCAGCAUAUAUACUAAAAUUGGAAUGAUACUGAGAAGAUUAGCAUGGUCCCUGCCCGAGGAUGACAUGCAAAUUGAUGAAGCAUAACAUAUUUUU